UGGCGGUAAAUUCCGUCCAAGGCUAAAUAUGGGCGAGAGACCGAUAGCAAACAAGUACCGUGAGGGAAAGAUGAAAAGGACUUUGAAAAGAGAGUCAAAGAGUGCUUGAAAUUGUCAGGAGGGAAGCGAAUGGGGGMMGGCGAUGCGCCUCGGUCGGAUGUGGAACGGUUAAAGCCRGUCUGCCAAUCGGCUCGGGGYGUGGAUCGGUGCGGAUUAGGACGGAGGCCAAAGCCCAAGAAGUCGUUAAGCCUGCGGAGACRCCUUYGCCCCGAUCGUGGUUGGCAGCAUGCGCCUUCUCGGCAUGCUUCGGCAUCUGCGCACUCCCGGCACCGGCCAGCGGGCUCUCCAUUCGGCCCGUCUUGAAACACGGACCAAGGAGUCUGACAUGUGUGCGAGUCAACGGGUNAGUAAACCCGCAAGGCGCAAGGAAGCUAACGGGCGGGAUCCCCUCGUGGGUUGCACCGCCGACCGACCUUGAUCUUCUGAGAANGGUUCGAAUGCGAANAUGCCUGUCGGGACCCGAAAGAUGGUGAACUAUGCCUGAG
rnacentral:rRNA from 1 species